AGAUGAUAUUCCAAUUUACAACAGGGAACUGUCUGGUUAUAUUGUUCCCCUGUUCAUGUCCACAUGGGAAGAUGAAAGACCACAUUUGCCAUUUAUAAAGGAUGGAUAUGAACUCAGAAAACUAAUUUUGGGCCAACUAUUAACAUUCAAGGACAAUGAAUGUGAAGAUAAUAUGCCUGUCGGUGUACUUGAAUUCAUCAGUUGUAUCAGAAAAAUUCAAUUUAAAUCAGGACGUGCAUGCUAUUUCUAAAAAAAGAAGCUUUGGAUGGCAUCUCUCGUGGUAGUUUUACAUAACUAGCAAAUGAAAGGGCUUCUCAUAAUUCAUUGGAUACAAACAAGCUGGGUGAAUUACAUAUAGUUGGUUGUAAAUGACUUUCAGUUCCUAGCUUACAACGAAAUCUAGAUAUGUACUUUUUAUAACAGUAUUCUGUGCUUGACGGUGGUCCAAUGUAUUGGUUCAAAUUAUCAUGUUGUUUACUAGCAA